UUUCUUCCCUUUUAGCCGUCUCUCUCUCUCUCUCUGUGAAUAAUGUAGAGUUUAGGUGUGUGGCGGCGGCGGCCACCCCCGUGGAGCUGAGGCCAGGGCAGCAGCUGUCCCUAUCGAGACUCUCCUCAGAGCUGUCACGGCGUGUCUGCUCCGCGGCUAAUCACUUCCCACUGGCCUACAGCGUGGGACCACCGCUGCUAAUGUCUUCACCGGGCUAGGCUGAGAGAAGCUCACAGGAGGAGCGCGAUGUUUGGUGGAUGUGUCGUGGAUGUGUCGUGUCAGGCCCUGUGGUGACAACCACUGAAACAACUUCCAGUGAAGAUGAUUAAUUAUCAGUCACUCCGCCCAUGCAACAAAUUGCUACAGCGGAUCAUCUGCCUCCACCAACUGACCUCAUGUCCUCCUUCACAACAUCAACGAAGCUUCUCCGCGGACUUCUUCUUUUCCUUCUGCUCAGCAGCUCCAUCUCCAACCAAAUUUGUCUAAUAUAUUCACACUAUCUCUCCUGUAAAAUGUUAAUUUCAGACAGAUCUAAUACUGCAGGGGAGAAACUGGGCAAUCAGGGGAAAAAGGAGUGAUAGAAAAGGCAGAGAGAGAUAGUUGGGAGGUGUACCAUGCUCGUGGGACAUGAGCAGUCACUCAGAAGUAGGCCACUGCUGUAGCUUCAUCAUAAAUACAUGCAAGCGCUACAGUAGGACCGUCACGACGACUCACUGGUUUCUGUUUUGUGCAUUUAUUCGUUUCAUGUUUUGAGAAGAUUAGAAUUUCACAUAUUUGUUAAUUGAGGUGUUAAGAAAAUAUGACCCCGCAGCUAAAAUGGCAAACAUACCAUAUUUUAAAUUUGUAUAUUUUUAUGUUUGACAACUCAUUAACAUGUUACGUGAAUCUUGAAGCAGAGCACCAAGUUUU